CCGCCCUGCCUGCCCAGCCAGAAGCCCCAGCCAGGGCUUCUGGCCUGGGAGCACGUGGCUGCCCCGUGCCAGAACACAGACUUGAAUAUUUGGCUUCUUGUAUCAUUAACUGAAUGAACUAGUUUCCUGAGCCAGGAACGUCAAUAGCUACCAUAUCCAGAUUUGAUGAAGUCAUAAUCUUGGACAAUUUCAAGACACCAUUUUUGUUUUUUAAUAUCUAUUCUUUCCCUGUGAAUUCAAUACUAACAUUAUUGUGUCUAUAUUGUCUGUGUUGACAAAUUCCACACAUAUAUAGAACAUUUAUCAUCCAAUUUAACAUGUCAGAUUAAGUAUGAAUAAAUCAAGAAAGAAAACAACAAAAAAUUAAAAUGUUUUUCUACUAUAAA